rnacentral:rRNA from 1 species
AACGAACGCUGGCGGCGUGUUUAAGACAUGCAAGUCGCACGGUGUCAUUUUGGUAGCAAUACUUGAAUGGCAUAGUGGCGCACGGGUGAGUAACACGUGAAUUACAUGCCCUGUAGAGGGGGAUAGCCCAGGGAAACUUGGAUUAAUACCCCAUGGUCUCGCAAGAGUAAAGGUGGCCGCAAGGCUGUCGCUACAGGAUUGGUUCGCGCCCUAUCAGCUUGUUGGCGGGGUAACGGCCCACCAAGGCGACGACGGGUACCUGGUCUGAGAGGACGAUCAGGCACACUGGAACUGAGACACGGUCCAGACACCUACGGGUGGCAGCAGUCGAGAAUAAUUCACAAUGGGGGCAACCCUGAUGGUGCAACGCCGCGUGGAGGAUGACGGUCUUCGGAUUGUAAACUCCUGUCAUCCGGGAGUAAGACCUGGGAGUUAAUAGCUCACAGGGUUGAUAGUACCGGAAGAGGAAGGGACGGCUAACUUCGUGCCAGCAGCCGCGGUAACAC